ensembl:lncRNA
UGCAUAAGGCUGUGUGUAUACGGGUGUGUAUAAGGGUUUAUAUAAGGCUGUGUGUAUAUGGGUGUGUAUAAGGGUGUGUGUAUAAGUGAGUGUGUAUACAGGUGUGUAUAAGGGUGUGUGUGUGUGCUGUACCCCUUUCCACAGCCCUCUGGCCCAACCAGCAGGAACGGCUGUGUGUUUCCGGCCUGCAGCCAGCGUGUGAAGUUGUGUAGCGCGUCCUGUGUGUGUGGAGUGUGUAUGACGGGGAGUGUGUGCGUAUAUCCGAAGUCCUCCACGCACACUCCGUCUCCACGCUGCGCCUCGUACGCACGCACGCGGCCAGAGUCACCAUCAUAGCACAGAUCCAGAGGGUUCCGCGGGUCAGGAGGGCUCUCACCUGCCCAGGUUAGCACCUACACACACACACACACACACACACACUUGUAUACAAAAUGACAACCUGCAUGCGCGCACACACACACACACACACACACACACACACACAUUCUCUGACCUGCUUAGCGAACUCCUGUCGUGAUUUGAGCUGCAGGUUUCCUCCGAGUCCACGGAUCAACCCGACUAUAAACUCCCCCCGCUCGCUCACCCCCCCGACAUGGGACAAACCAUUCAUGACAGCCCCUACCAGACUGGUCUCUACCACACACUCCCCCU